CUGGAAUUUACCCCUUGGAAUAUACUUUGAAAUCCUGCUGUUUGGAAGAUUCUUCUGCAGGAUGUCCCCGCUCUUCUGUCCAUUGGAUUUUUGAGGCUAGAUACCUCACUGAUGGGUAGAGUGGUCUUUUUUGACAGUUGUUACACUUGCAUAUCUACCUUAGGUAGAUUUUCCCAAAUUAAAUCUUCUUGAAGUCUGAUAAGCU